UUUGUGUGUGUUAAUGAGUGACUGUCUUCAGGGAAAUGAUGUGGAGUGUGUUUGCAUAUUGAUCAGAUCUUCAGUGUGUGAGAGUGUUUAUAGUGCUGUGAGUUUAACACUUCAUCACUGACACACACAACAAUCUUCAUCAACAUGACCCUCAUCAUCAUCUUCAUCUGGACUCUCACAGCGUUUGCUCAAGAGUGUAGAGGACAGAUCACCGUCACUCAGAGUCCCUCAAUAACAGCAGAACAACCAGGAGGAACUGUGAAUAUCAAAUGUAAAACCAGUACAGAUGUGAGGAGAUGGAAUGAUGGGGAUGAAGGUUUAUUCUGGUACUUACAGAAACCUGGAGAAGCUCCUAAACUCCUGAUUUAUUAUGUAAAAAACCUCCAGUCAGGAACUCCAUCUAGAUUCAGUGGCAGUGGAUCUAACAGUGAUUUCACUCUGACCAUCAGUGGAGUCCAGACUGAAGAUGCUGGACAUUAUUACUGUAUGAGUUUCCAUUGCAGAACAGAUUAUUAUAAUUUUUGUGAGGAUGAUGAAACAUUCACACAGUGA